rnacentral:tRNA from 1 species
AGUCCCGUAGUGUAGUGGUCAAUCAUGCAGGCCUUUGGAGCCCGCGACGGUGGUUCGAAUCCGCCCGGGACUA